rnacentral:lncRNA from 1 species
GAGCAAGGGCAGGGAUCGAACCCGCAACCUCAUGGUUCCUAGUCGGAUUCGUUAACCACUGCGCCACCAUGGGCCCUCCGAGUUGCCGUGUUGAUUAAAAUGCAUCUAAAUCGUCUCCCUCCCAGGUGCCUGGCAAAUGCACGCUACCUCCCUGCUCCUUCGCUCAACUUGACCCAGCAUGUGACACACAAAUACGAGCCCUGAGAGGCUCGAGGAACCCACAUAACACUAUAUGUAUAAACACACACACACACACACAGGUACGCACGUCCACAUGUAGGCAGCUCUGGGUAACACCUUAUACAGCUUGAAGGAUUCCAACUGGCCGAAGGCGGACCGGGAGAGCCACCACCCGCGGUGCUGUGCCGCCAGGCAGGCGGCCGGCUGCCUAGAUGCGGAAGGUGCGCCCACGGCCGAGGCGGUGCCACGGGCACACACUGCGGGCUUGGAGUGAGACAGGCACUCCUGCCAAGCUCUCCCUCCGUCAGCACAGCGACCUGCGGUGUGAUUACUGUCGUCCUCGUUACACAGGUGAGCAAAGUGAGGACAAGCUCCCUGGGGCGGGACGAGCCCCGUCAAAGGAACUGGCCCCGUGUGCACACUCAGAUCUACGGAGUGACGGGCCAGCCGGGUGCUGCUGCAGAGCCAGGGACGCCGACCCACCAGUCUGGGAUGGCCCGCGUGGGAAAGAAUCUGAAGCAGAAUGGACGCGUCACGUGUAACGGACUCGCUUUGUUUUACGGCAGAAAUGAACGCAACCGUGCAAACCAACGAUGCUUCAAAACAGGCUAAAAACACACAAGAGAAAACGGAAUCGGCCCCCAAAUCACCGGGAGCCACCGGUGGCAACUUGAACCAGGAGAGGAGGCGAGAUCAGGACAGAGACUGAAACCACACAACCGGCUGGGAAGCAAACCGCAGCCACUGGCACAUUUAAUUAAGGGCCAGGGAGGAAGAGGGUGGAAGGUGCUGAGGCGGCCGUGGGGCCCAGGAGCCAAGAGAAGGACCUGCGACAAGGCCCAGGGGCACGGAGGGCUCUCUGGUGCCGCCCUUCGGCAUUGUGGCCUAGACUUGCUUUUUUCUCUUGGUAACAGGUAAGAACAGAAUGAGCAAGUCUAAUUCCUUGGGCAGCACAGGUCUCUAGGGGCGUCUAGCACGAGAGACAGCAGCACUCCACUGGCAGGUACGCGGCAUCAACGCCCGUGACACGACGGGCACAGGUUCCUCUCCCUCCCAUCCAGGCUGCAAAGAACCGACUACCUGCAGAGAGGUGGGGAGGUGAGAUUGACAGCGGAUGAUGGGGGGGGGUGUCCCCCUGGAGGGGCCGGGGCCCCUGCAUGAAGGACGGGAGCUCAGGGGCGGGCAGGUGAUCCCUGCCGCUGACCAGCCUUCCCUGCCCUCCGGUCUGCCGGCAGGGGCUGCUGAAAUCGAGCAACACGGUGGGGCGUGGCUGAAACAGCAGAAAUGCACUGUCCCCCCCUUCUGGGGGCUGCAGGUCUGGACCAAAGUGUGGGCAGGCCUGGGUCUCCCUGAGGCCCCUCCUGGGCCCAGAAGUGGCCGCCAGCAGGUUCACAAGCAGAAGAGAGUGCCUUCCCGCCAGGACCAAGGGACGUCUUUGCCUUUGUCUGGGUCUCGUGUAACUUCUUCCAGGGGUGUUUCCGGUGUUCAAUACAUAAGUCUUCUACUUCCUUAAGUCUAUUCCUAAUUAAUUUAUUGUUUUUAACGCUAUUAUCAAAAGAAUGGUUUCCUUCACGCCCUGCAACCGGCUGCAGGUGUUCGUGGGUCCUAACAGCCUUGUGGUGGGUCACUCACGCGGACCACACCGCCUGCCAGCAGAGGCAGCUUAUUUCCUCCUUUCUAAGCGGGGUGCUCUGCCUUUCACCACCUAGCCCGGUUAUCCACCUCCAACCUCCCACACGACGGGGGCCAGGAAGAGCUAGAGCGGGCGUCACCCUGCCUCUCGCCGUCAGGGAGGUGUCGGCAGGGCUUUGCACAGGCGCCCUUUACCCGUGGGAGGGCAUUGUUCUCUUCCUGACAGGGCUGUUUGUGCCAGGUCUGCACAGGCCCUGUGCCCACAGAGGCCAGAGUGGUUUCUCCAAGGCAGGCGGAUCCAACCACAGGCUGGAUCUCUGGGAGCAAGUCGGUGGGGCUCUCCCUGGACCCUCGGCUUCCCCCCCAAGUCUUGGUUCUCCCUCCCCCCACCGUCUGGAAUGUGAUUUCUGUGACCACCCAUUUCCCCGACGAUUCCUCUAAAACUUUGUUUUCUUUCAGCCUAGAAACUUCCCCUAACAGAGUCUUGCGGGCGCCCCACCCCGACGAGCUGCCAAUACUGUGUCCAUGUGUUUCCUUAAAGCCACGUUACCACAGGACGUGAACAGGCCUGUCUCCCGUAAAAGCAGCGUCUCUCUGCCUUGCUGACCUUUGGCCCCAGCACCUGGGAGGGGGCCAUAACAGGUGGCACAGGUGGACGAACGAAAAAGCGGCUCCUCACCCCACCCACCACUGUCCUGGCAGAGUGGGUUUUUCUCAAGCGCAAAUUUGAUCAUAAAGCUCAUUAAAAUCCCUCCAACAGCUGCUGACACCCUUCAGGAAGAAGCCCCAAACUCCCACCUAAAAGACUAAAGGCCUCUUCACGACCUGCCCCAGCCCCACAGCCCUCCGCCAGCAUCUUCCGCCACACACCCCACUCCCUAAACCCCCGAAAACCACCACAACCCCAAAGCCGGGGCGCUUUGCAGCCUCCCCGCCUCCGCUGGCCAUUGUCCCCCCGCUGGCCGGCCCCAAGCAUCCUUCUCCUCUGCUCACCCGGAAACCCGCCAACCACUUGUUCCAGAGUCAGUUCCCACGUUGCCUCUGAGCCCCAGAUCUGUUUAUACAGCUGUUUAUACACUUCGCUUGGCUGUUUCAAUGGCACCCACACUUCCCAAACCUGGGCGUGAACCCAUGACCAGGCCCACCCCGCCAGUGCCAAGGAAGAGAGCUCCCUUCCUGCCUGCUCCCAGCUCAGCCGUGGCUCCACCGUCGACCCAAGUCCGUCUCCUCUUUAAAUCCUCCACGGCAAGGGCCAGUCGCGUUGUUCCCACGUGGCUCAGACAACCGUCCACUUCUCCCCGGCUCUGUGCCACCACCGUGCUUCUCUUGGCCAAGUUGUGACCGUGUCCCGAUGGGUCCCCUUCCACACCGGCCUCCACGCCGCCUGCAGGAACCGGGGUCCGGAUCUUCCCUCCUGACUCCUCUCCUCCGUCCCCCACGCGGUCCUCCAAAGCCCCCCCCAUAAACUCACCACGGGCCAGGUUCCCAACCACAGCACCCGCCCCCUGGCCCCCUGUCAUCUUCCGUCUCUGCUCUUCCUCAGGGAAGUCCCGUCCGACACCUUGUCCAGGUCGGCCCGUGACCUUGUGGGGUCACACUCCUCUUCCUCGCAGUUUUAUCCCAAUUUGAAGCGAUGCCCUCACGUGAGUGGGAGGGCGUGCAUAGGGGCCGUGGGAGGAGGACCGUGCCCGCUGCCCGGCACAUGCCCGGCAGAAAAGGUACACAGCAUCUGUCAGGUGCACACGUGGACUCGCAGGUGGCAGUGACCUGCUCCCCUGGGAGCCACGGGUCCUCACGGGAGGCCAGCACAGACUGGGCUCUGGACACCAGGCUGUGGUGAUGCCUGCUGCUGCGUCGCCCCCUACUGGCCCGCGAGUUCCGUCCAGACAGGAGGCUCCCUUUCAACCCCUGACACUCGGCAGAUGCUCGAUAAAUAGCUCAUGAUGGGGGGAAUCCCAGGUGCCACUUAAAACGGCACGAGUUUUUGCUGGUAAACACAAGGGCAGGGAAAGCUAGAUGGGUCUCCAGGUUGGAAACCCAUCGGCUUUAGCAAGGGGAGACCCAGACCCUCUCCUGGUGCGUCUCUAAGGCAGAGGCUCAGAAGGCAGGGCCAGGAUCAAGGCCAGGAAGAGCCUGACCCCCGUCCUUGGACAGAAUCACAAAGCAGAGACCCCACCGCCACUGCCCACGUGCCAUAGGGGGAAAAAAUCCCUGUGUUUGGUAGAGACCGGACUAGAUUCUCUUUGGAUUCAGUAAAUAUCUGUUGAACACUUACUGCCUGAAUGCCAGGAACAAAGGAGAGACCUGCAGAGAAGCCCCCCGCGCACCCCUGGGGAGCCUGCAAAUGACCACUGAAAUCGCUUCCAACCUCAGAGCCUAAGAAGCCACUUCAAACAGUUCAAAGGCAAACCCCGUUUGUUUUAGUAAGUAACCCUUCGGCCAAGAAGAUCAAUUUCUGUGCCUCUAUGGACAUGUGACCUCUGACUGUCAAUCAAUGCCCUAAAAAGCAGGCUAGCGAAGCCAACUGACUGUAUAAUUUGGUUCUUGCAACAGUUGCCAAAUUGAUUGGCAAUGCCUAACGGGAAGAGGGGCUAUGUUCUAAUAACGACAGCAGCAAAAGACAUCGCGCUUCUUUUGGAGACACUUGUGAAACUAGAAAAUAGCUUAUCUGAGAGCCACCGCUUUGCAAGGUCAAGGGCAUACCUCAGAAACCAGAGUGGCCAAGGCCACUGCUCGUGGCCUCCAACGAAGGGCCUCGGGAUGUGGGAGCCCAGGUCUCCUCUCCCACUGGCUGUGUGACGGGGACAACUUCCUCCCUCUCCGAGCCUCGGCGUCCACGUGGAAGGAAAGGCCUCUGCGCAGAUGGACUGUCCUGAGAUUCCAAAGAGCAGCCCAGCAACAGCCUGGACAGGGCCUCGGCACCGACCCGGGAGCAAGGCGCGCGGCCGUCCCAUCCAACCCGGACGCCCACUGGCUGGGUCACACCAGGGCAACCCGCAUCAUCCGAAAGCCUUACUGCUCCCUCGGAAAAGGGAGAACGAUGGUGCCGCUGGCGCCCAGGGCUACCGGAAGGCUCAC